GCGCCUACGGGGGGCAGCAGUGGGGAAUAUUGCACAAUGGGGGAAACCCUGAUGCAGCAACGCCGCGUGAGUGAAGAAGUAUCUCGGUAUGUAAAGCUCUAUCAGCAGGGAAGAAAAUGACGGUACCUGACUAAGAAGCCCCGGCUAACUACGUGCCAGCAGCCGCGGUAAUACGUAGGGGGCAAGCGUUAUCCGGAUUUACUGGGUGUAAAGGGAGCGUAGACGGCCUGCUAAGUCUGGAGUGAAAGGUACCGGAUCAACCGGUACAGGCUCUGGAAACUGGCGGGCUAGAGAGCAGGA
rnacentral:rRNA from 1 species